rnacentral:rRNA from 1 species
UUUAUCAAAAACAUCUUUUCUUGUUAGUUUUUGAAGUAUGGCCUGCCCACUGAGUAUUUUGAAGGGCCGCGGUAUUUUGACCGUGCAAAGGUAGCAUAAUCAUUAGUUCUUUAAUUGUGAUCUGGAAUGAAUGGCUUGACGAGAUGCAAGCUGUCUUAGGUUUGGAGAAAUUUUAGUUGAAUUUGGUUUCUGGGUUAAAAUACUCAGAUUUUUUUAUGGGACGAGAAGACCCUAUAGAGUUUUACACUUUUAUUUAUUGUUAUUGUUUAGUUUGGUUUUGUUUUUAAAUAAGUUUAUGUGUUUUGUUGGGGUGAUGGGAAGAAUUUGUUUAACUCUUCUUUAUUUUAUAUACAUUUAUAUGUGUUAUUAUGAUCCAUUUAUUUUGAUUAAAAGAUUAAAUUAC